GAUGAACGCUGGCGGCGUGCUUAACACAUGCAAGUCGAACGGAAAGGCCCAAGCUUGCUUGGGUACUCGAGUGGCGAACGGGUGAGUAACACGUGGGUGAUCUGCCCUGCACUUCGGGAUAAGCCUGGGAAACUGGGUCUAAUACCGGAUAGGACCACAUUUUGGAUGGUGUGGUGGAAAGUUUUUCGGUGUGGGAUGAGCUCGCGGCCUAUCAGCUUGUUGGUGGGGUAAUGGCCUACCAAGGCGUCGACGGGUAGCCGGCCUGAGAGGGUGUACGGCCACAUUGGGACUGAGAUACGGCCCAGACUCCUACGGGAGGCAGCAGUGGGGAAUAUUGCACAAUGGGCGCAAGCCUGAUGCAGCGACGCCGCGUGGGGGAUGACGGCCUUCGGGUUGUAAACUCCUUUCGCUAGGGACGAAGCGUUAUGUGACGGUACCUGGAGAAGAAGCACCGGCUAACUACGAG
rnacentral:rRNA from 1 species